rnacentral:rRNA from 1 species
GACGAACUUUGGCGGCGUGCUUAACACAUGCAAGUCGAACGGAAAGGCCCUGCUUUUGUGGGGUGCUCGAGUGGCGAACGGGUGAGUAACACGUGAGUAACCUGCCCUUGACUUUGGGAUAACUUCAGGAAACUGGGGCUAAUACCGGAUAGGAGCUCCUGCUGCAUGGUGGGGGUUGGAAAGUUUCGGCGGUUGGGGAUGGACUCGCGGCUUAUCAGCUUGUUGGUGGGGUAGUGGCUUACCAAGGCUUUGACGGGUAGCCGGCCUGAGAGGGUGACCGGCCACAUUGGGACUGAGAUACGGCCCAGACUCCUACGGGAGGCAGCAGUGGGGAAUAUUGCACAAUGGGCGGAAGCCUGAUGCAGCAACGCCGCGUGCGGGAUGACGGCCUUCGGGUUGUAAACCGCUUUCGCCUGUGACGAAGCGUGAGUGACGGUAAUGGGUAAAGAAGCACCGGCUAACUACGUGCCAGCAGCCGCGGUGAUACGUAGGGUGCGAGCGUUGUCCGGAUUUAUUGGGCGUAAAGGGCUCGUAGGUGGUUGAUCGCGUCGGAAGUGUAAUCUUGGGGCUUAACCCUGAGCGUGCUUUCGAUACGGGUUGACUUGAGGAAGGUAGGGGAGAAUGGAAUUCCUGGUGGAGCGGUGGAAUGCGCAGAUAUCAGGAGGAACACCAGUGGCGAAGGCGGUUCUCUGGGCCUUUCCUGACGCUGAGGAGCGAAAGCGUGGGGAGCGAACAGGCUUAGAUACCCUGGUAGUCCACGCUGUAAACGGUGGGUACUAGGUGUGGGGUCCAUUCCACGGGUUCCGUGCCGUAGCUAACGCUUUAAGUACCCCGCCUGGGGAGUACGGCCGCAAGGCUAAAACUCAAAGGAAUUGACGGGGCCCCGCACAAGCGGCGGAGCAUGCGGAUUAAUUCGAUGCAACGCGUAGAACCUUACCUGGGUUUGACAUGGAUCGGGAGUGCUCAGAGAUGGGUGUGCCUCUUUUGGGGUCGGUUCACAGGUGGUGCAUGGCUGUCGUCAGCUCGUGUCGUGAGAUGUUGGGUUAAGUCCCGCAACGAGCGCAACCCUUGUUCACUGUUGCCAGCACGUUAUGGUGGGGACUCAGUGGAGACCGCCGGGGUCAACUCGGAGGAGGGUGGGGAUGACGUCAAGUCAUCAUGCCCCUUAUGUCCAGGGCUUCACGCAUGCUGCAAUGGCUGGUACAGAGAGUGGCGAACCUGUGAGGGUGAGCGAAUCUCGGAAAGCCGGUCUCAGUUCGGAUUGGGGUCUGCAACUCGACCUCAUGAAGUCGGAGUCGCUAGUAAUCGCAGAUCAGCAACGCUGCGGUGAAUACGUUCCCGGGGCU